UCCAUACUGAGGAGUAUUACUGCCAGUGUCAACUGUCAUGUGACGCAUUCAUGUCUAAAAUUAUUGUCAAAAAUAAAAUUUUUAGGGUAAAUUUAAGACAAUGUGUUACUAUUACGAAAGGUGUUAAUUAAUGAUGCAUGCUGACACAGAAGGUUAGUUUCAAUCAUAAAUGUAUAUUAUGAAUCGUUAGGAAUGAAACAAGUGUUUUUAUAUAUAUUUUGUUACUUAGGCUGAGGAUGGAUGAUAUAUUAGCAGGGAGAGGAGCCCCAUUAUCAACCAACAUGUCAUAAAAAGAAGGAGAUGAGUAACGGGGACAGCUAAAAAGUAUAUGUGGAACGGUUCCCUCAUCCAGGCCACACUCACAUAUAGACGAGUCUCUUAUGUGUAAUUUAUAUAAGUGCACUGGAGACGAGCAAUGACCAAUUCUCAACCGAGAUAUGGUGGCAGAGAUAUGUUUGCUGAAACGUAAUUUGGAAAACCAAGGCCUAGAAGUUAUGUAAGGUUGAAUUUUGUACAGGUUACCUCCUUUAAGGGUACUAGAGUUCCUCCAACUGGUGUUCCAUGCCAGCUCUAGGUCUUGUUUGGCCAAAGUAGAAAGGUCAAAAGAAUACACUGAGAAGUACUCAUCGUUACCAUGAACAAUAGCAUCUUUGGCUAAUUGAUCUACUGUUUCAUUACCUUUAAUACCUAUAUGGCCUGGAAUCCAAGCCACCGACACUUGAAUGUGUUCUACAUUACAUAAUUUAAUCAAAUGCUUAAUUUCUAGAGACAGUGGGUGAAUACAAUUUUUAGCAAAAGGGUUGCUAAGAAGAGACUGGACACAACUUUUAGAGUCGGAAAAAAUUAUAGAAGGCGAAAUAUUGUUAACUCUGAUGUAUUUAAUACAUUCCCUAAUAGCUAAAAAUUCACCAGAAAAUACCGAACAAUAGUGUGGAAAUUUAUAUGAAAAGGAUAUAUUGGCAUUCCAGUGUAAAAAAGCAACACCAACAGGGCUUUCUUUACUUAAUUUAUUUAGAGGCAUCUGUGAAAAAAAUCUUAGCUUGGGGCCAACGUUUCUGAAUAAUGAGUUUUAAUUUAGAAUCUGGAUUAGCAGUCUGUUUAUCUAUACCAAGAGAUAACUCCACAGAAGGGGUUGAAAUUUUAGAGCUAAACUCAACUGAAAAUGCUGGAUGUAUUUUAAAUUUAUUAAUAGCACAAGAUAUACCUUCUAGCCUCCUGUAACUUUCAAUAAGACAGGGUAAGGGUUUAUGAUACCAGUAAGAGUUAGAAAUAAUAAAUGAAUUUAAUAAUCUAAGUUUAGAGAAAAGAGGAUGAGAGGAGUAAUUAGAUAUUUUAUAAAUAUAUCUGUCUGACAGAUAUUGACGUCUGAGAUAAAGAGGAGGGUCAGAACAUUCCACCUGUAAGGCAUUUGUAGGGAGGCAGCAAAAGGGUGGCAAAAUCUAAAUGACUCCUCACAAUAGCAUUAUAUAAUAAUCUGAGGGAGUAAGGAUGUGCUCCCCACCAGACACCCCUUAAACAUCGCAAAAUAUUAAUGUUGCUCUCACAUUUAUUAACAAUAUGGUCUAUGUGCGCUACACCGUUCAUUCUACUGUCAAAUAUUUUACCCAAAAAUUUUACCUCUUUCUUUACUGGAAUUAGGGUCCCAUUGCACUCAACAUCAAUAUGGGGUAUCUGACGUUUUCUAGAAAAGACAACGACUACACUUUUGGAGGCUGAUAGGUCUAAAUAAUUAUUAUUCAGCCAUGAGGAUAGUACAGUCAUGCCACUUUCAAUAUUAUCCUUUGCUACGCUUAUAGAAUUAUUAGAAGAAUAAAUAAGGAGGUCAUCAGCAUACUGUAAGAUAUUACACCCAUCCGAUAUGUGAUGAUCUAUAUCGGUAGUGUAAACAUCAUACAGCAGAGGGCUGAUUACAGAACCUUGAGGUAAUCCUUUCCAUACAGUUCUAGUGGCAGCUUGAAUGCCUGGAUGUCUCAAUGAUAUAGUCCUACCUGAUGAGAGGUUAAAAAGAAAAUUUGUUAUCUUUUCAGGAACCCUUAGCUGAACUAAUUUGUUCCUAAGGACCCAAAGAUUAACAUUAUCAUAUGCCGCUGAAACAUCGAGGAAGCCAGCUACCACUGACUUGUUUUGACUAAAUGCCAACUGAAUGUUAGUAGUGAAAAUGGCAUGACUAUCGGAAAUACUCCGGCCUUUCCUGAAUCCAUAUUGAGAAUCUGCCAGUAAAGAAUGGUGCUCUAGGAACCAUUCUAAUCUGUUUUUUAUCAAGUGUUCUACUACUUUGGGCAUGGUAGAUGAGAGCGCUAUAGGCCGAUAUGAAAGUGAAUUACAAGGGUCUUUCCCUGGUUUGGGAACGGGUACAAUUAAUUGAUGUUUCCAAUUUUCCGGAAUAACUCCAGAAUCAACAAUUAAAUUAAUCAAGUUUAAAAAAUAACUAAGGGAACUAUUCCGGGAUUUUGAAAGAAAGGAAUAAGGGAUACCAUCAGGACCAGGGGAAGAGUCCCUGAUAUGGCUGAGUACUAAUUUUAAUUCUUGAAAAGUAUAAGGGGAGUCUAAAAUAGAAGAAAUAGCCCGGGGGGAAUAUAAAUAGGGAAUUUGAUAGAAAUUAGGAACUGAAGGGGGGAGCUAGCCUGUCUAAAAAAAUCAUCUACCCAGCUUAUUGAGUAGGAAGAAAGGGAACGGUGAUUACGAGACAAUCUAUAAUACUUCAUUUUUUUCCAAACGAGAGACGAAGGAGUUUCAGGCGUUAUAGACGCACAAAAUGUGCGCCAGCCUUGACGUUUUUUUUUACUUAAAAGUCUUUUCGUAGCAGCACUCGCAUUACGAUAGUUUAGGAAAGAGUCAAGGUUAAUGUCAGUGGAACAGAGUGCUUCUGCUUCAUAUCUCCUUUUAAUAGAAUCAGUACACUCUGAAUCCCACCAGGGGGGGGAAGGGAUUUUGCCUAAGACAACAUUUUUUUUAUUAAAUAUCGCCUCUGCAGAAGCAAGUAUAGAAUCUUUAAAUCCCUCACAACAUUCUUUAAUAUUAGAUAACUGAGGUUCAGGAAGCAAAUUCGUUUUUUCUUCAAGUAAAGCGCCAUAGAGACCCCAUUUAGAAGAAUCUAUGAUGUAAGGUAGAAGAGGAGGAAGAAUAGGAACAUUAAUAUUUUGAGAAGGAAAUGAAAUUAGGAUAGGAAAAUGGUCGGAACCAUGAGAGUAAGGAAGACGUGACCACGAUAAUAAGGAAGCUAAAGAGGGAGAGCAAAAAGAGAUGUCAACAUAACUGGGUUGAAUAUUGGGCGGAGUGCGGCGAGUAGGGGACCCAUCAUUUAACACACAUAGGUCAAAUUCGUCUAGGAGAUCCAAAAGUCUGUUACUGAAAGAGUCAUUAUUUGGAGCACCCCAGAUCUGGUUGUGGCAAUUGAAAUCACCCAUUAAUAAUAUAGGAGGGGAAACAGAAGAUAAAAAUCUACGUAACGUGGGAAUAACCGAGUUAUCCCGUCUCGAAAUAUAUACAGAAAUAAAAGAAA